GUUGAGGUUUUGCUGCUGAAUUCGCAGGUGGAGUCGCGUUACUGCGAUGCUGCUCAAGCCAUGGAGUUCCUCCAGCAGAUUGUCUGGUCCUCCAGAUUCCAGCGUCUGGCAUCUCGAAUGGGUCAAGAGUGGCGCAUGAGUAAUAAAGGAGAUGGAAUUGCUACCCCUCUGAUGUCAGACAUUCCUGACUUCAGGCAGCCAUGACACAAAGAAACACCAUGGAACCCAUUCAAGAAAACAUCCAACACCCGAAGCACAAAUAAAGAGUAAAUUGCACAAAUGACAAAAAGCAAGUGGACGACGUGUAGAAUAUUAAACAUCAAACUAAGACUGCAGUAGUAUUCGGUUUACGUCAGCUUAACAUCAUGCUGCUUGUCCAUUGCAGACCGUAGGGCAAGCAUUCUUCACUGAAACAUCCCAGACCACAUCAAUCACCUUGAUCCAGCCACUCAAAAACAGUAAGAAAAAGUAACCAGAAUCCAGACACACAUGCAACAUGAACUCCAAAGUCCCCCAAAACUGGUCCUCAGCCUUCUCAUUCAAUUCUUGCAAUGUGGAUCCUAAGACCCUCUUUCUCCAACAGCAGCUAGUGAAAAGAAUGAACUGUUCCAACACAGGCAGAUGGUACAUUACACCAUCCAUCCUCCACCCUUGUCCUCGUUGAUGUCAACCUUGCUCAGUCCUCAAUCUGAGAGAAGCAAUGGAGUCGAUCAUGGGCUUGUGUCCUGAAUGCCACAGUCAGAGAGAAGCAAUGGAGUCGAUCAUGGGCUUGUGUCCUGAAUGUCACAGUCAGAGAGAAGCAAUGGAGUCGAUCAUGGGCUUGUGUCCUGAAUGUCACAGUCAGAGAGAAGCAAUGGAGUCGAUCAUGGGCUUGUGUCCUGAAUGUCACAGUCAGAGAGAAGCAAUGGAGUCGAUCAUGGGCUUGUGUCCUGAAUGUCACAGUCAGAGAGAAGCAAUGGAGUCGAUCAUGGGCUUGUGUCCUGAAUGUCACAGUCAGAGAGAAGCAAUGGAGUCGAUCAUGGGCUUGUGUCCUGAAUGUCACAGUCAGAGAGAAGCAAUGGAGUUGAUUGUGGGCUUGUGUCCUGAAUGUCACAGUCAGAGAGAAGCAAUGGAGUCGAUCAUGGGCUUGUGUCCUGAAUGUCACAGUCAGAGAGAAGCAAUGGAGUCGAUCAUGGGCUUGUGUCCUGAAUGUCACAGUCAGAGAGAAGCAAUGGAGUUGAUUGUGGGCCGUGCCAUUCAUGUCACAGUCAGAGAGAAGCAAUGGAGUCGAUCAUGGGCUUGUGUCCUGAAUGUCACAGUCAGAGAGAAGCAAUGGAGUCGAUCAUGGGCUUGUGUCCUGAAUGUCACAGUCAGAGAGAAGCAAUGGAGUUGAUUGUGGGCCGUGCCAUUCAUGUCACAGUCAGAGAGGAGCAAAGGAGUCGAUCAUGGGCUUGUGUCCUGAAUGUCACAGUCAGAGAGAAGCAAUGGAGUCAAUCAUGGGCUUGUGUCCUGAAUGUCACAGUCAGAGAGAAGCAAUGGAGUCGAUUGUGGGCUCAUGCUCCGUCUUCAGGUUUCCAGACCUCCCGGCCACACACUCAGCUCCAAACCUCACCAAACUCACUCAGUGACAGCAAAGUGCCAGACUACUCAAUCGGUCCAGAAACACACUAUCAAAAUGUAAAUCACAGAGUCCAAUUACACACAGCUGAGCAGUAGAAGCAUAUUUGGAAGAAGAAGAAGCAGUAAAUGAAGACAGUUUGUGAACUGUUCGAAGGAUGUCGCCAUUGGUCACAUUAUUCACUGGCACCCUCCAAAACAGACCCUCUAUCAUCAGAUUCCUGAACAACCCGUGAACUCAUAACUUGACCUUAUCCCUUUUUUGUUUACACAAUACUUGUUUUGUAAUUUUCUGUAAUUUUAUGUCUCAGCCACUGUUUCUGCUGCUGGAAAGCAACAAAUUCAUUUAAUGUAAGACAAUGAUAAAAAAAAAAGCCCUUCUCUGAUUGUCAUGUUUGUCAAAGUAAAGAAUAUUAUUUCAGAUGAAUGAAAUGCUUUACCUUUGGAAAAUAUAUUGUCCUUGAAUAAAUUCACAGUGAAGGCUUUAACUGACCAGGAGUAUCUGUUGUCGCCUCUAUUUCAGUGAGGCGUUACUUCUGGAUCAGUGCCUUGUUGCCUUUUCCCAAGAUAACGCAGUUGAUCAACUUGGCAAGAGAUCUUUUUGCAUGGUCACUGUAUGUCAACCUUAAUGUUCCACAUUGUAUCCUUUGCCUACCCUUUCAUUUUCUGUACUGUGCCUCAGGCCUCGGAGUUUAUCGGUGCUUAACAUUUGUUCCUCCUUUCAAUUUUUUCUGUUUUUGCAGACCAACAUUAUAUCAUUACUGUUUUCCCAUCACAACAUGUUUAGUUGUGUCAAGCUGUUUCUCAUUCCAUCCAAUGACUUGUAUUUCCUGAAUCUCCUUUUUAUAAGGGAUUGGUCAGACUGCACUUAGAAUACGGUGAGCAAUUUUGGGUGCCCUGUCUAAGAAAAAAAUGUGCUGUCAUUGGAGAGGGUCCAAAGGAGGGUCACAAGAAUGAUUCUGGGAAUGAAUGGGUUAAUGUAUGAGGAGUAUUUGAUGGUUCUGGGCCUCUGGUCACUGGAGUUUAGAAGAAUGAGGGGGGAAUAUCUUAGAUAAGUAUUGAAUAUUGAAAGGCCUCAGUAGAGUAGAUGUGGAGAGGAUAUUUCCUAUAGUCGGAGAGUCUAGGACCAGAAGGCACAGCCUCAGAAUAGAGGGACAUUGAUUUAGAACAGAGAUGAGGAGGAAUUUCUUUAGCCAGAUGAAUCUGUGAAAUAUAUUGCCAUGGAUGGCUGUGGAAGACAAGUAAUUGGGUAUAUUCAAAUUGGGGGUUAAUAUCUUUUGAUUAGUCAAUGUGUCAAAGGAUACAGGGAGAAAGAUGGUGAAGCAGAUUCAGAUGGAUUAUUAAUCAGCCAUGAUAGAAUGGUGGAGCAGACCUAAUGGGCUGAAUGGCCUAAUUCUGACCCUAUAUCUUAUGGUCCUCCAUAAGAUAUGGUCUUUCAUCUCCACUGCUCCUUGGAACUUUUAGCCUGUAAAUGCCAUAUCAUUGUAUCAUUGUCCAACUAUCAGUUUUACUCUUUCCUGAUUUAUUGGUUCACACUGUCAGUUGUGAACAUUCACAAAAUAGUAAUACAAAUAAACUUACCAUUAUAUACUUUGCAAUUAGUCACAUCUGCAAAGCAUCCCGAAUUAUUUUACAGCCAGCAUUUUUUUGCUGUGCAGUCAGAGGGAUAUGGUGGGUCAGGUGGAAAAGUGUUCUUUCUCUCUGCACAUUGGGUGCGAUGGCCUUUGUUCCAUGGCUGUUAAGUGAUGAAUAUCAAGGUUGUGUAAUAGAUAUAUACAUAUACUUCGAUAAUGAAUGUAAUUUGAACUUUGAACAUUGAACUUUGAAGUGGACUUGAAGCAAUAAUUAGGCAUGUUGUUUUGAGAAUCACAAUCAGGUUUAAUAUCUCUGACAUAUGUCAAGUCAAGAUAUGUAUAUCAUGAAAUUUGAUGUUUUGU